CGGAGGGUGCAAGCGUUAUCCGGAUUCACUGGGUUUAAAGGGUGCGUAGGUGGGUCUGUAAGUCCGUGGUGAAAUCUCCGAGCUUAACUUGGAAACUGCCAUGGAUACUAUAGAUCUUGAAUACUGUGGAGGUUAGCGGAAUAUGUCAUGUAGCGGUGAAAUGCUUAGAUAUGACAUAGAACACCAAUUGCGAAGGCAGCUGGCUACACAAAUAUUGACACUGAUGCACGAAAGCGUGGGGAUCAAACAGGAUUAGAUACCCUGGUAGUCCACGCCCUAAACGAUGGAUACUCGACAUUUGCGAUACACUGCAAGUGUCUGAGCGAAAGCAUUAAGUAUCCCACCUGGGAAGUACGACCGCAAGAUUG
rnacentral:rRNA from 1 species